rnacentral:lncRNA from 1 species
CCGAGGGUGGAGAGCCCUCAGUCGGAUCACGAUUCCACCCCUGAAAGAUCUCUACCUCCAUUCUGCCAGAGGACCCUCGAGACCCGUAGUCGAGAGGAUUUCCUGGACCAGAGGCUCCAGGAGAUGAACCGGCGGAUCGAAGAACUCCGCCACGCUCCCCCCGCUUAUGGUGAGGAUAUUUGUACUGACCCUCCCUUUUCUCAAAUGAUCAUGCAGGAACCGAUCCCGCCAAACUUCAAACUCUCCCAAUUUGAAAGCUACGACGGGAC